GUAGCUUGCUACUUUGCUGACGAGCGGCGGACGGGUGAGUAAUGCUUGGGAACAUGCCUUGAGGUGGGGGACAACAGUUGGAAACGACUGCUAAUACCGCAUAAUGUCUACGGACCAAAGGGGGCUUCGGCUCUCGUCUUUAGAUUGGCCCAAGUGGGAUUAGCUAGUUGGUGAGGUAAUGGCUCACCAAGGCGACGAUCCCUAGCUGGUUUGAGAGGAUGAUCAGCCACACUGGGACUGAGACACGGCCCAGACUCCUACGGGAGGCAGCAGUGGGGAAUAUUGCACAAUGGGCGCAAGCCUGAUGCAGCCAUGCCGCGUGUGUGAAGAAGGCCUUCGGGUUGUAAAGCACUUUCAGUCAGGAGGAAAGCGUGGUGGUUAAUACCCAUCAUGUGUGACGUUACUGACAGAAGAAGCACCGGCUAACUCCGUGCCAGCAGCCGCGGUAAUACGGAGGGUGCGAGCGUUAAUCGGAAUUACUGGGCGUAAAGCGUACGCAGGCGGUUUGUUAAGCGAGAUGUGAAAGCCCCGGGCUC
rnacentral:rRNA from 1 species